rnacentral:rRNA from 1 species
GACGAACCGAGCGAACGUUGUUCGGAAUCACUGGGCUUAAAGGGCGCGUAGGCGGGCUGCCGCGUCCGGGGUGAAAGCCUCCCGCUCAACGGGAGAACGGCCUCGGAUACGGGCGGCCUCGAGGGGGGUAGGGGCGUGCGGAACUGUGGGUGGAGCGGUGAAAUGCGUUGAUAUCCACAGGAACUCCGGUGGCGAAGGCGGCACGGCUGGACCUCGAUCUGACGCUGAGGCGCGAAAGCCAGGGGAGCCGGAACGGGAUUAGAAACCCGUGGUG